UGCCAGACUCCUACGGGAGGCAGCAGUGAGGAAUAUUGGUCAAUGGUCGGGAGACUGAACCAGCCAAGCCGCGUGAGGGAGGAAGGUACAGAGUAUCGUAAACCUCUUUUGUCAGGGAACAAAGGCGGGGACGUGUCCCCGGAUGAGUGUACCUGAAGAAAAAGCAUCGGCUAACUACGUGCCAGCAGCCGCGGUAAUACGUAGGGGGCAAGCGUUAUCCGGAUUUACUGGGUGUAAAGGGAGCGUAGACGGCUAAUCAAGUCAGAAGUGAAAACCCAGGGCUCAACCUUGGGACUGCUUUUGAAACUGAGUAGCUAGAGUGCAGGAGAGGUAAGCGGAAUUCCUAGUGUAGCGGUGAAAUGCGUAGAUAUUAGGAGGAACACCAGUGGCGAAGGCGGCUUACUGGACUGUAACUGACGUUGAGGCUCGAAAGCGUGGGGAGCAAACAGGAUUAGAUACCCUAGUAA
rnacentral:rRNA from 1 species